rnacentral:rRNA from 1 species
UACGAAGGGGGCGAGCGUUGUUCGGAAUUACUGGGCGUAAAGGGCGCGUAGGCGGCCUUGUAAGUCUCGUGUGAAAGCCCUCGGCUUAACUGAGGAUCUGCACGGGAUACUGCGGGGCUUGAGUUCGGGAGAGGAAAGCGGAAUUCCGGGUGUAGCGGUGAAAUGCGUAGAUAUCCGGAGGAACACCAGUGGCGAAGGCGGCUUUCUGGACCGACACUGACGCUGAUGCGCGAAAGCUAGGGGAGCAAACGGG